GAUGAACGCUGGCGGCGUGCCUAAUACAUGCAAGUCGAGCGAACAGACGAGGAGCUUGCUCCUCUGACGUUAGCGGCGGACGGGUGAGUAACACGUGGAUAACCUACCUAUAAGACUGGGAUAACUUCGGGAAACCGGAGCUAAUACCGGAUAAUAUAUUGAACCGCAUGGUUCAAUAGUGAAAGACGGUUUUGCUGUCACUUAUAGAUGGAUCCGCGCCGCAUUAGCUAGUUGGUAAGGUAACGGCUUACCAAGGCAACGAUGCGUAGCCGACCUGAGAGGGUGAUCGGCCACACUGGAACUGAGACACGGUCCAGACUCCUACGGGAGGCAGCAGUAGGGAAUCUUCCGAAAUGGGCGAAAGCAUGACGGAGCAACGCCGCGUGAGUGAUGAAGGUCUUCGGAUCGUAAAACUCUGUUAUUAGGGAAGAACAAAUGUGUAAGUAACUAUGCACGUCUUGACGGUACCUAAUCAGAAAGCCACGGCUAACUACGUG
rnacentral:rRNA from 1 species